GAAAUGCGAUAAGUAAUGUGAAUUGCAGAAUUCAGUGAAUCAUCGAAUCUUUGAACGCAACUUGCGCCCGCCAGUAUUCUGGCGGGCAUGCCUGUUCGAGCGUCAUUACAACCCUCAGGCCCCCGGGCCUGGCGUUGGGGAUCGGCGGAAGCCCCCUGCGGGCACAACGCCGUCCCCCAAAUACAGUGGCGGUCCCGCCGCAGCUUCCAUUGCGUAGUAGCUAACACCUCGCAACUGGAGAGCGGCGCGGCCACGCCGUAAAACACCCAACUUCUGAAUGUUGACCUCGAAUCAGGUAGGAAUACCCGCUGAACUUAAGC
rnacentral:misc_RNA from 1 species